AGCAGCCGCGGUAAUUCCAGCUCCAAUAGCGUAUAUUAAAGUUGUUGCAGUUAAAAAGCUCGUAGUUGAAUUUCGGGAUCAUCAGGUUGGUCGUGCCUCUGGUAUGUACUGAUUUCGAUGGUUCCUCCUUCUUGAAGAACCGUAAUGCCAUUAAUUUGGUGUUGCGGGGAAACAGGACUGUUACUUUGAAAAAAUUAGAGUGUUUAAAGCAGGCAAUCGCUUGAAUACAUUAGCAUGGAAUAAUGAAAUAGGACGUUCGAUCCUAUUUUGUUGGUUUCUAGGAUUGACGUAAUGAUUAAUAGGGAUAGUUGGGGGCAUUAGUAUUCAAUUGUCAGAGGUGAAAUUCUUGGAUUUAUUGAAGACUAACUACUGCGAAAGCAUUUGCCAAGGAUGUUUUCAUUAAUCAAGAACGAAAGUUAGGGGAUCGAAGACGAUCAGAUACCGCCGUAGUCUUAACCAUAAACUAUGCCGACUAGGGAUCGGAUGAUGUUAAUUUUUAAUGACUCAUUCGGCGCCUUAC
rnacentral:rRNA from 1 species